UACGUAGGCAGCGAGCGUUGUUCGGAAUUACUGGGCGUAAAGAGUGUGUAGGCGGUGCUCUAAGUUCGGUGUGAAAUCUCCCGGCUUAACUGGGAGGGUGCGCCGGAAACUGGAGUGCUCGAGCGUGGGAGAGGAAAGCGGAAUUCCUGGUGUAGCGGUGAAAUGCGUAGAUAUCAGGAGGAACACCUGUGGCGAAAGCGGCUCACUGGACCAUAACUGACGCUGAUGCACGAAAGCUGGGGGAGCAAACAGG
rnacentral:rRNA from 1 species